AUUGAACGCUGGCGGCAGGCCUAACACAUGCAAGUCGAGCGGAUGAAGGGAGCUUGCUCCUGGAUUCAGCGGCGGACGGGUGAGUAAUGCCUAGGAAUCUGCCUGGUAGUGGGGGAUAACGUCCGGAAACGGGCGCUAAUACCGCAUACGUCCUGAGGGAGAAAGUGGGGGAUCUUCGGACCUCACGCUAUCAGAUGAGCCUAGGUCGGAUUAGCUAGUUGGUGGGGUAAAGGCCUACCAAGGCGACGAUCCGUAACUGGUCUGAGAGGGUGAUCAGUCACAUGGGAAGAUAGAGAGGGUGCAGAGUCCUGCGGUAGGGACCAGUGGGGUGUUGUGGAGAAUGGUCGGAAGUUUGAUACAGCUGUGCGGCGUGUGAUAAGAAAGUCUUCUGAUUGUAAAGUAUUGUAAGUUGGGGAAAAGAGCAGUAAGUUGAUACCUUGCUGGCGUGACGGUAACAAGUAAAUAAGCACCGGCUAACUUCGUG
rnacentral:rRNA from 1 species